rnacentral:rRNA from 1 species
AUGGGAGACAUGAAUGACAUCUUGUAUGAUAUGGACAAAACUACUACCUUUGUUAAUACUACUCAAAUGUAUGCUUUUCGAAAUCUAGUCAAGUCUUGUGGUUUGAUAGAUCUUGGAUAUAGUGGUCCUUCUUACACCUAGACGAAUAAACAUUUUUCCACAAAUCCUACUUAUGAAAGGCUUGAUAGAUGUUUGGUUAACACUGAGUGGUGUGCUAUCUAUCUGAAUACAAAUGUCUAUAAUCUGCCUAUUACGUACCUUAAGUGA